rnacentral:rRNA from 1 species
UACGUAGGGGGCAAGCGUUGUCCGGAAUCAUUGGGCGUAAAGCGCGUGUAGGCGGCUCGGUAAGUCUGCUGUGAAAGUCCAGGGCUCAACCCUGGGAUGCCGGUGGAUACUGUCGAGCUCGAGUCCGGAAGAGGCGAGUGGAAUUCCUGGUGUAGCGGUGAAAUGCGCAGAUAUCAGGAGGAACACCAAUGGCGAAGGCGGGUCUCUGGGCAAUUCCUGACGCUGAGGCGCGAAAGCGUGGGGAGCAAACGGG